AAAGAAUGAUGGAAAGAUGAGGAAUACAUUCCUAGUGGCUAAUCGUUGGAACUACGCACAUAUUGUCCGAAAUCGGCCUUAAAGGCCGUGAAUAGCACUGUCGCUAAUCUGCAUAUUAGGUGAAUAUCAAGUGGUGGUCCUAGUUAGGACAUGAACCAAAAGCUCAGGAGUUCAACGCCAUCUAUUUUAGGCCAAACGUAGGAAUUGGAAGUCUUUGAGAAUGCUGUAACUCUCUCUCCUCUCAUUUGGUGUUGCUAGGGAUGUGCUAUCAGUUGGUUUGGAUUUGAACCGUAAAAACUAAAAACUGAA
rnacentral:misc_RNA from 1 species